rnacentral:lncRNA from 1 species
UAAAACAGUGGACUAUAAGUGUCCCAAAUCCUUUUCAAAGGUUUAAAAUGCUUUUUAAAUUUAAAAAGGACCAAAGUUGCAAAAAUUUUCCAAUUUGGGCCAAAAUUGUCAAAAUUGCGAAAAGAAGGGCUAAAACCGAGAAAAACUGCAUUUUCAGGGACUUAAACUGUUUUCUAUGAAAAAUAUGUUGGAAAAUAUUGAUUUCAAUAAUUUUUGGUGUUAAAAUGACAAGAAAAAUAGUUUAAGGACCAAACCGGGAAAUAUUACAUAAAAAGGGUUGAAAAAUGUAAAUUUUACAACUAAUGAGGGGCUGAAAACUGAAAUAUUUCAAGGCUAAUUCAAUAUGUAUAAUUUGAUCAAAUAAUGACACCUCGACUAUCGACGAAAUACAACUCAUUACAAUACCAAAAGUCGUUGUUAAACGAAUUGGCUCGGUCUCGAGCCAAUGGAAAUCUACAACUACUAACUCUUCGACACUACGAAUCAUACAAAUAACGUUUGGUAAUACAUAUACAUACGAGUGUGCACAGACGUCUACGCACCAUCUUCGGGCCCCAAAAGUGUAAAAUCUUGCUUGUUGGGCCUAGCUAGCCCAAUGACCUGAUCUUAAGGCCCGAAGACACAUAUUUUCUACGAAGUGCUGAGUUUCACCGACUUGGCACAACGUGGAGUGACUUUCAAUGGCUUGUACCACUGGUCCCCAAGGGUCCUUGGUAUUGCUAGAAGAGUCUGCAUAUUUUACGAGGCGGGUCGGGGACCCCUCGCACGCAUAUUUUCCCCAACCGGUUAAUGGAGUCACCGGGGUCUUCGUGACCUCUUUCUCUUCGGAUGUGGGACUACACCUAGUCCGGGCGAUUGGAUAACGUGAUUAGUACGGACGACGCCUUCGGGUUCGUUAGUAUAACUAUAAACUGGGCGUUUGUGUAAUGCGGGUUUGUAGUAAAUAAUCAUGCUCGAGAACCUUCCAACGUCGCCUGGGACUGACACUGCUAUCUUCGUAAUGGUUUCAACGCAACUUAAUGGAUUCCAAAGGAACUAGGGGAACAUCGGGUUUCCCUAGGGUUUUCAAUACAUACAGAUUUGAAAUGCAUACAUCUUCAAUGAACAUUUUUUUUACAAGUAUAGAAACAAACAAGCAUACCUAUGGAUCUUCACAAACGUUUUCAAAAGCUUUUCUUUUCAGAAAAUAUCGGAUUUUCUGGUGGUUUUUCAAGCAAUACAAACAUUCGAUUUCAAACACUACUUAUGAACUCACCAACAUUUCAUAUGUUGACGUUUUUCAAAAUACUUGUAUUCUCAGGGAACCAGUGAAUCAAGGGAAAUCAUAUUCAGUGACGGUUGCAGUUUAUUUUUGUAUGAAUUGAACAAAUUAAUUUUUGGGGAAUGUAAUGUUUAAACAAUGUAUGAUAUGUAAACACUACUGGUUGUACUAUGUUGAUGAAUGGUGACGAAUGUUGUUAUGUUUCAUAUAUAUUCAAUGUUAUGGUAUUCAAUUGAGUCACGACAGCCCCCGGACGUUUCCGCCGUCUGGUUCGGGGGUGUGACAGGUUGGUAUCAGAGCUUUGUUUAUAGUGAACUAGCAUGUCGAGCCACACAUUGAUAUGCAACUAUAAACCAAAAGAGGGACUAACAUAACUCUGAACAAAACAAGUAAAUAAAACACCCUUGCUUGCAUUAGGAAUAGGAACCUAACACCGAACCAAACAAGAUAAUGCUAGUAUCUCGGUUAAUUCAGGACUGUUCUUAGUUGUAUCAAGGAGCGGAUGUAGCCUGAUCAACUACAUUCCCUCCAAGGUACAACCAUCACAUGUCGUGAAGAGAUCGUGAUAACUAGGAACCUAAAAUCAUACCCCUUAAUCUCCAAGAAGGGAACCUCAACUGAAUCUAUGCAAUAGUCGUAGAGCUAUAGGAGUAAUUGGUAUGCUAUUUGUUUCUAGUAUUCAUAGCCCAUCGUGCAAUACGCUAUAGACGAGUAUCAUUAGCCAGGAAACCCUAUCACCCUAGUCAAGGAAUAGUCGGGUGGCUCGACCCAGAGGAAGAACCCCAGGAGGGACACGAAGUAGAACUCGCAGGUGAACCCGCUGAGUCAAUAGUGGACCUCGAAGAGGAAGAGCCGGAGGGCAAUGACGAUGACGACACGGAUGUAGAAUCCAAUGACAUCAAUCCUCCAUGUAAAUCCAGGGCACCGACUUAUAGUGUGGGCCCCGGUGACCCCAUGCCCCCUCGGGCACCCGAUAUUUGGGGAUAAAGUCACCAGUAAGGAAUACUACCACACCACGGUAAGAGCUGAGGUCUCUUUAAUUUUAGCCACAGAGGACCAGCUGACCAGGCCCUCCCAGUCGUGGUGCGACGCACUCGAGGUAUCGAUAACCAAGCUCAGGACACCCCAAAUCAAACGAAACCAAUGUGGUUUGUUAUUAAGAGGGAUGAAAGGAAAACACGGGAAGUGAAUGGAGACUCUCGAGCGAGACAGUUAGUUUGGGAGGCACGCCUACGAUAUACCGAGCAACAAGUAGCUCGUCUCCGAGGUGCAUCCACUUCAUCAGCAUCACCACCAGACACUUCUCGCCACGACUAGGAUCAGCCUUUUCUAAUUUCCCCUACUAUCCGACAUGACUCUCUUUCGUGUGCUAAGAUGGUACAUACCCCUGAAACGAUUAUGUGUUAUAUUUAUUUCAUAUUGCUGCAACGACUCAAUUAUAUGCACAAGCGAACCCUCAGAACCACUAGAUACUUAAGGAUCUCGAAACUAAAACAACCCAUAUAAUCUAAGGAUAGACGUAACAAUCGUUCCAGAUCUGUGACCACCUAUUACCACAAAAUACAUCAUAGGGAUGUAGAUGGAGGCAGUAAGAAUUAUACAACAAGAUGCGAAAAUUUAUAGAGUACAACCAGGAAUGACGAUCAUCACUUACGAUCUGGGUUAUCAAUGUGCAUCAGGAAAAUGCCAUCCCGCAAGAAUAACAAGCGCACCCGCGAGACACCACUCCUGCAGAUGGACUCUGCUACAUUCCAAGCUGCUGUAAUGGCAGCAGUAACCGCUGCCAUGGCACAGAUCAAUGCCAACAACCCUAAUGGAGGCAGGAAUAACAUUGACAACUCCAGCCAAAGGAACAAACAUGGAAACCAACAAGUGACAACCUGUCAAGGAACUCCAAACCCCAAGCUUAAGAGCAGGAAGCUGAGGUCUGGAGGUAAGAGAAAGGGGCAACACACUCGAGGGUUCUCAAGGGAGCAACGUGUUGUUGCCGUUCAUGCGACCACGACCCCUAUUACACCAGCAACCAGGAGACCAUAUGCUGGAAACCUUCCAAAAUGCAACCAGUGCAAAUUCCAUCAUAAUGGAGCCUGCAGGGAGAUGCAUUGUAACAAAUGCAACCGAAAGAAUCACAUCGCCAAAUUCUGUAGAACUUAUCCAUGCCAGAAUCAUCAGCCAAAUGAAAAUGACAACAAUCGCAACAACCCUAACAACAACACCAAUGAUGAGACCAGUCGCACCUGCUUUAGGUGUGGAGGAACUGGUUACAUCAGGCGCAAUUGCCCUAAGGAUAACAACCGAGGAGCAGAAGGAUCAGAAAUGGUCCUAACCUUGGGUCAAGGCAAAGCAAUCCCAAAGCCCAACGAUUGAUACUGGUACGUUCCCACUUGACAACUCCUUCGCUUACCUCUUAUUCAAUGGUAAAUCUGAGUGAAGUUUCAGUUAGUAACAAAUUCAAACACUUACUAAAACAACAUCCCCAAAGCUAAGCUAAGCCUUUUCAAUGGACAUGGCCAAAGGGGAAAAAUGAUUUAAUCUAGGGUACUCAUGUGGAGUACGCCUUAACACUAAACGACCAUUCAUUACAAAUAGAUUUCAUGCCAGUAAAUAUUAGGAGUUUUAAUGUGAUAAUCGUCAUGGUUGGGUUAAGCCCCCACCGUGCUGAUGAUAUGUGUCGCGAGAGGGCCGUUUGCCUUUACCUUCCUAAUCACGAAAACUCUAAUAAUCCAUGGUGAUAAACCUAGCGCUAAUCCUCUUCCUAUCUCGUGCAUCAAGGCACAGAAGUGCCUGCACCAGAAGAACUACGUUUUCCUCACUCAUGUUGUGGACAAGAUCAAAGAAGAGGUAGGCAUACAGAGUAUUCCAGGAGCUUGUGAUUUUCCCAAAUGUGUUUCCUAAGGAACUUUCGGGAAUACCCCAGAGAGACGGGUUGAAUUUCGAAUCAACCUCAUAUCGGUAACCACAUCAAUUGCCAAUUCACCCUAUAGGUUGACUCCCGCCAAAAAUCCACAAGUUAUCCUGUCAACUGAGUAGAAUUGUUGCGCAAGGGAUUCAUUAGACCAAGCUUCUCAUCCUAGAGAGCUCCGGUCUGGUUUUUCAAGAAGACAGAUUCUUCCGAAGGUACAUUGAUUUUAGGAAAUUGGACAAUCUCCCUAUUAAAAGUCGAUACCUACUUCUACGGACUGACGAUCUAUUUGGCCAGCUCCAAGAAGCUCGUUACUUCUUUAAAAUAGAUCUAAGAAUCGGUUAUCAUCAACUCUGAGUCCGAGAAGGCGACAUUCCAAAUCUGCAUUCCGAACUCGUCGCGACCAUUUCAAAUUCAUUGUGAUACCCUUCAGUCUAACGAAUGCUCCCAGGGUAUUCAUGAACCUUACGAACCUAGUUUCCCAACCAUUCCUAGUUAGCCCUUUCACUAUUUUCAUCGAUAACAUACUCAUCUACUCACAAAGCGAGAACGAAACACUAUCAUCAUCUACGACCAGCCUAGAAAGCAUCAAAGCUGGGAAUGUCGCGCUGAAAGCACUACAUGGAUGGAUAAAACUCUCGCAGUCGAAAGACGAAGCUUUUUGUUAUAAGAGUAGAGUUGGGCGUUAUCUGGGUGAUUGUCGAUAGGUUAACCCAAUCUGCCCAUUUCCUGCCAAUACAAAAAUCGAACAAGAUGGAAGGAUUAGCUUGGAUCUAUAUCCAGGAGAUCGUGAGACUCCAUGAAAUAUCGGUAUCUACUAUCUCGGAUCGAGAUAACAGAUUUUCUUUAAGACUAUGGCAAUCACUUCAGAGGGCUAUGGGAACAUCACUAGACAUAAGCGUUGCUUACCACCUUCAAACCAAUCGCCAAAGUGAACGAACCAUUUGACCACUCAAAUUCAUACUACAAGUCUAGGUGUUUGAGUUCAACAAGUCAGGGGAUACCCGGUUUCCCUUGACAAAAUUCUCAUACAAUAACAACUAUCGCACGAGCAUCAAGAAUGCUCCUUUCGAAAACUCUUUAUAGUCAUAAAUGCAUAUCACUCGGUGGUACUCUCAUGAGACCAGAAACCACUAACGAAACAACAGAGAAGAUAAUCCAAAUCAAAGCUGGACCUCAAGCAUCGUGAGACCGAUAAAGGAGCUCUGCUGACAAGCGGCGUAAUCCAUUAGGAUGGCAAGUCGGGGAUCGCGCAUUAUUAAAGGAAUCACCUGGGAAUUGAAUGACUCGCUUUAUGAACCAAGAAAACUAAACCCACGAUACAUCGGACUGUUCGAGAUUCUUGCUCGGAUUGGUCCAAAGACAUAUAGGCUGUAGCUGCCUGUAGAGCUCAGCAACAUGAACCCUGUGUUCUGUGUCUUGAAUCUGAAAAGAUGUAUAUCAGAUGACACUCAUAUCAUUCCUUUACGAGAAAUCGGAGUAAGCGAGAAUCUCAUGUUCGUCAAAGAUUCAGUCAAGGUAUUGGGUAGGGAAGUAGAACAUACAAAACAAAGCCCCAUUAUGAUUGUGAAGGUUCCAUGGAACGCUAAGCGUGGACCGAAAUUCACAUGGGAAACGUGCAGAUCAGAUGAAGUGCCUAUUCUCUCAUUCGCAAACCUAUCCUUAGAAAGAAUUUCGGGACGAAAUUCCCUCUAACGGGGGGAUGAUGUCACAACUAGCAUUUUUAGCUAGGAAAUUCUAUCCUCAUAUAAACAUCAUCCAUUGUAAAAGCAUGUACUCUAAGUGAAUACAAUACUCUAUCCUCGUUCAAGAUACACCUCAUAUGUUCAACUAAGGGUUGGAAACCUUAGCAAUCCCGGUCCAAGUUCCUUAUGAACUAAAAUUCUCCUAUUGGGCCUAGAAGCCCUAAGUGGGCUCUAAAUAGACCACAUUCAUAAAACUUUAGUAUUUGGGCCAUGUGGACCUAAAAUAAUCCAUCUUAUCUCUAAUGAGCCUUGUUGGGCCAUAAAAGAUUUCAUUUUCCCCAAUGGGCCGAAAAUUUAUUUUUUGGGGCUUCAUAAAUUCGAGUAUGGACCCAAGAUGAUUCCUUUCCUCUCUCCUUAGCCCAAAUAGGCCCAUGUUAAUAAAAAAAAAAAAAGAAGAAAAGAGAUAAGAAUGGUGAAGGAAAUAAAAACAAAAAUUGGAAAUUAUGGGAAAAUUUGUGAGGAUGCCACCUACUUAUUGCAUGGUGGAUAUCCAUGCAAUGUCACCUCACUUCUCUUCUCUCUCUCUCCCUUCUAAAUCUCGGCCUAAGGCCAUUUUCCCUCACCAAAAAUCAUUCAUGUUUCCUUUCACUCUCAAAAACCCCAAGAACUCUUCCAUUUUCUCCUUAAACCCGUGAGUGGGUGUGUGUGCACAAGAAAGUUCAUCAAACUCACAUACUAGGUAAGUUACUUCACCCUCAAGUUGUAUAAAUUCAUCUAUGAUCAAAUCCUCCUAGAAACAUCACAAAUCUCUUGAUUAUCCUACUAGAAACAUCAUAGUUUUGAGGAUCCUCUCAAGAAGCAAGCUAGGCCGAAAUCUCUCACUUUCUUCAUCAAAAACCGAAACCUUCAAACAAGGUGAGCUUCAUACCCCCUAUUUUCUGUUUUUAUGAGUUUUGUGGGGGGGGGAAUACAAGUGAAAGUGUAGAUCUAUAUGUGUUUUGUAUGCCUUGUAUGAUUUCCAUGCUUAUAUGUAUGCUUUUAUGUGUUUUAAUGUUGGAUCUAGCCAUAAAACCCCUCAAAACCGAGAUAUAACUUAUGUUUUAUGAUUUUAGCUUCAAAUAUAUUUCUACAUAUAAAGUGAUACAAGAAAAAUAGCUAAGUGGUUAGCAACAAUUUUCUUUAAGCUAAAAACACACAUUUUGGGCCAAAAAUGUGAAAAAUACAAAAUUAAGGGCCCAAAUUGACAUUUCACAGAUUCUGAUGGAUGAAAUGUGCCAAAACAGUUUCCAUAAAACUAUUUCUGGAAUUAUAUUCAAUUAGAGGAUUAAAAACAUAAAUUUCAAGCUUAUUGGGCUAAAAAUGAAAAUUUCGGCCCAAGGAGGCCCAUUAUGCGAAUUUUUCUGUUUUGGAGGGCCAAAACUGUGAAUUUCUGUAAAACAGUGGACUAUAAGUGUCCCAAAUCCUUUUCAAAGGUUUAAAAUGCUUUUUAAAUUUAAAAAGGACCAAAGUUGCAAAAAUUUUCCAAUUUGGGCCAAAAUUGUCAAAAUUGCGAAAAGAAGGGCUAAAACCGAGAAAAACUGCAUUUUCAGGGACUUAAACUGUUUUCUAUGAAAAAUAUGCUGGAAAAUAUUAAUUUCAAUAAUUUUUGGUGUUAAAAUGUCAAGAAAAAUAGUUUAAGGACCAAACCGGGAAAUAUUACAAUAAAAGGGUUGAAAAUGUAAAUUUUACAAAUAAUGAGGGGCUGAAAACAGAAAUAUUUCAAGGCUAAUUCAAUAUGUACAAUUUGAUCAAAUAAUGACACCUCGACUAUCGACGAAAUACAACUCAUUACAAUACCAAAAGUCGUUGUUAAACGAAUUGGCUCGGUCUCGAGCCAAUGGAAAUCUACAACUACUAACUCUUCGAUACUACGAAUCAUACAAAUAACGUUUGGUAAUACAUAUACAUACGAGUGUGCACAGACGUCUACGCACCAUCUUCGGGCCCCAAAAGUGUAAAAUCUUGCUUGUUGGGCCUAGCUAGCCCAAUGACCUGAUCUUAAGGCCCGAAGACACAUAUUUUCUACGAAGUGUUGAGUUUCACCGACUUGGCACAACGUAGAGUGACUUUCAAUGGCUUGUACCACUGGUCCCCAAGGGUCCUUGGUAUUGCUAGAAGAGUCUGCAUAUUUUACGAGGCGGGUCGGGGACCCCUCGCACGCAUAUUUUCCCCAACCGGUUAAUGGAGUCACCGGGGUCUUCGUGACCUCUUUCUCUUCGGAUGUGGGACUACACCUAGUCAGGGCGAUUGGAUAACGUGAUUAGUACGGACGACGCCUUCGGGAUCGUUAGUAUAACUAUAAACUGGGCGUUUGUGUAAUGCGGGUUUGUAGUAAAUAAUCAUGCUCGAGAACCUUCCAACGUCGCCUGGGACUGACACUGCUAUCUUCGUAAUGGUUUCAACGCAACUUAAUGGAUUCCAAAGGAACUAGGGGAACAUCGGGUUUCCCUAGGGUUUUCAAUACAUACA